GACGAACGCUGGCGGCGUGCUUAACACAUGCAAGUCGAACGGAAAGGCCCUGCUUUUGUGGGGUGCUCGAGUGGCGAACGGGUGAGUAACACGUGAGUAACCUGCCCUUGACUUUGGGAUAACUUCAGGAAACUGGGGCUAAUACCGGAUAGGAGCUCCUGCUGCAUGGUGGGGGUUGGAAAGUUUCGGCGGUUGGGGAUGGACUCGCGGCUUAUCAGCUUGUUGGUGGGGUAGUGGCUUACCAAGGCUUUGACGGGUAGCCGGCCUGAGAGGGUGACCGGCCACAUUGGGACUGAGAUACGGCCCAGACUCCUACGGGAGGCAGCGGUGGGGAAUAUUGCACAAUGGGCGGAAGCCUGAUGCAGCAACGCCGCGUGCGGGAUGACGGCCUUUGGGUUGUAAACCGCUUUCGCCUGUGACGAAGCGUGAGUGACGGUAAUGGGUAAAGAAGCACCGGCUAACUACGUG
rnacentral:rRNA from 1 species